CAAGUCGAACGGAAUAAUGACUUCGGUUGUUAUUUAGUGGCGGAAGGGUUAGUAAUACAUAGAUAAUCUGUCCUCAACUUGGGAAUAACGGUUGGAAACGACCGCUAAUACCGAAUGGGGUAUGUUUAGGCAUCUAAAACAUAUUAAAGAAGGGGAUCUUCGGACCUUUCGGUUAAGGAAGAGUCUAUGGGAUAUCAGCUUGUUGGUGGGGUAAUGGCCUACCAAGGCUUUGACGUCUAGGCGGAUUGAGAGAUUGACCGCCAACACUGGGACUGAGACACUGCCCAGACUUCUACGGAAGGCUGCAGUCGAGAAUCUUUCGCAAUGGACGAAAGUCUGACGAAGCGACGCCGCGUGUGUGAUGAAGGCUCUAGGGUUGUAAAGCACUUUCGCUUGGGAAUAAGAGAAAUUGGCUAAUAUCCAAUUGAUUUGAGCGUACCAGGUAAAGAAGCACCGGCUAACUCCGUGCCAGCAGCUGCGGUAAUACGGAGGGUGCUAGCGUUAAUCGGAUUUAUUGGGCGUAAAGGGCGUGUAGGCGGAAAGGAAAGUUAGAUGUUAAAUCUUGGGGCUCAACCCCAAAUCAGCAUCUAAUACUAUCUUUCUAGAGGGUAGAUGGAGAAAAGGGAAUUCCACGUGUAGCGGUGAAAUGCGUAGAUAUGUGGAAGAACACCAGUGGCGAAGGCGCUUUUCUAAUUUACACCUGACGCUAAGGCGCGAAAGCAAGGGGAGCAAACAGGAUUAGAUACC
rnacentral:rRNA from 1 species